rnacentral:lncRNA from 1 species
ACAAUUUUAGUACAAGUCAUCGAUGUAGUCCUACUACAACAAAAAAGGGAUAUAGCAGCACUUUUAUAUGUCGCUAAAACAUCAAAAAAGUGCUGCUGUAUUUUUUACCGACACUUGCUCAAAAUAUCACUAUAUGUGGGGUCGCAGGACAUAUAGCGACACAAAAAAAAAGUCGGUCUAUAUAAGAAAAAAUGCUGAAGUGAGACGACACUUUUGCUUACUUAUCCCAGCAAAUGAAAAGUGCUGGUAAAAGAUUCUUCCGACACUUUUUAGUGUUGCAAAGAGGGAAAAAAGGAUGCAUUUUAGAAAAUUCCGACCUUUAUUUUAUAUUUAUAGCGACACUUUAUUUUAAUUUAGCAGCACUUUUUUUAUUUUCCAAUAGCAUUUUUUUACUAUUUAUCUACACUUUGUUAACCAAAAAAGUAAUCCUGCAAUUAUUUUUACCAUCACUUUUUUACUAUUUAGCGGCACUUUUUUAAAAUAUAAUUUUUUUAUAUAUAAUAAUUUUAUUAUUUAAUUUUUAUCAUAUACUAUUGUUUAUCAUUCAUUCACUAUAUUAUUCAUUAACGAUUCAUUCAAUAAUAAUCAUUUAUCAUAAUCUUUUUAACACACCAUCAAGAAAAAUAUGCAAAUACAAAACAUAUCAAUUAUAUUAAGAAGCAAAAGUUACUGUCAUACAUCUCAUUAGUUGAUGUUAAUAUUAUAGACAAACAACAUAGUCCAAAAAACCCAAACAAUGUCACGCCUCGAGCCCGAUCCUUUUGGCCGGUUUGAGAGCAUCGAACAGACGCCGAACAGACAUAGCCUCCCCUGUCCGCCCAAGGCUUAACAAGAGGUACAGAUAGAGUAUAAAAUUUGCAUAUUGGAUACCCAAUCAACAUAACGGACCGCCCUAAUAAAUUCGGCCUUCAAAAAAUUUUCAAUUUCAUUUUUAAUUUGGAGUACAAUACU